UAUACAACCCCUAUAAAUCCAACGUCGCUGGAAUGUGACGUCCUUCGUGGAGACGAGUCCUUAGCUGUCGCCUCCCCUCGUCGAUAUGAGAGCUAAGUGGAGAAAGAAGCGCAUGCGCAGGCUGAAGCGCAAAAGGAGAAAGAUGAGGCAGAGGUCCAAGUAAACUGUCCUCUCCGCCAUGGCUGUGUCAGCACGUGUUGCCAACAACCAGACCGGUGAGCUCAGCUGGAGACCCAGGACCCCUCCCGGUGUCAAGUCUGAGGCCAGUGGCGCCCAUAUCCACCUGAGGCGACAGCCGAUUGAUGCUGGAGAGCUGAUUCAAGACCUGCUGGAUGACAGGCUUUUUCUCUGGGAUAUUCUGGACUCUUUGUUCUUAAUUCCUCAACUUUUGUCACCUGUUUUUGUUUAUACUCUGAUUAAAGGUUUUGGUUUAAAAAAACA